UACAUGUGGGGCAAGCGUUGUUCGGAAUUACUGGGCGUAAAGCGUGCGCAGGCGGCUUCUCAAGUCAGGGGUGAAAGCCCAGAGCUCAACUCUGGAAUUGCCUUUGAGACUGAGUGGCUUGAGUACGAGAGAGGUGAGUGGAAUUCCCAGUGUAGAGGUGAAAUUCGUAGAUAUUGGGAAGAACACCGGUGGCGAAGGCGGCUCACUGGCUCGUAACUGACGCUCAUGCACGACAGCGUGGGGAUCAAACAGG
rnacentral:rRNA from 1 species